AUCGAUAUUGGCAGCUUCCAUG
rnacentral:miRNA from 1 species